GCACUGUGAAUUCCAACUCUCAUGAGGGUGAAUUAUGAUAUCACAAUUAUCUCACAACAUACGUCUUUACUGGGCAAGAAUGUCUUUUCAAAACGUUUUAUUAUAUAGUGAUAAGCAGAUAUGGAAUGUAUUCAUAAGAAUGAUGCAGGUAUGUAUGUAUUAAAAAAACAAAACAACAACAACAACAACAACAAAAAACCUGGCCCCAUCGUGCAGCACUAGAAACCAGCUGUCUCGCCCACCUGGAUAACCCUAAACCCCACACAUCUUGGGUCACACAAGAACAACUUUUUCUUUUUUUUUUAAACAGGAACAACUUUUGACCUCAUCCAGUGCAACAGGUCUCUAACUAGCCCUCUGCCAUGUCACGAGGACACUCAAGAAGCUCUGGAGAGGCCUGUGGGUGAGGAAUUAAGGCUUCCAGCUAAUAGCCAGAGAGGAGCUGAGACCUACCAGCAACUACCUCAGUGAACCUAGAAGGGGAUCCUCCCACAGUGGAAUCUCCUGCUGACUGUAUCCCCAGAUGACAGCCUCACUAAAACCUCCUAAGACGCCUUCAACAUGAACCACACAGUCAGGGCUGAAGUCUACGAUUUUUGUAGGCCCUAGGCACUUGUCUUCAUGGGCCCUUUCUUUCACUAGAAAGAAAAAGAAAGAAGGAAGGGAGGGAGGAAGGGGGGAGAGAGGGGAAGUGAGAGAGGGGAGAGAAGUGAGGAAAACGAGAAUGUAUUUCACCUAUUGCAAAAAGAAAAUUGUACUGGCAAGUAUUGUGGGCUCUAGGCACUGCACAUACUGGACCUAAUGGCCCUUUACUCAGUUAAGUCACUCUUGGAUUCCUGAUCCACAGUAACUGGGAGAUAAUAAAUGUGUGUUGUUUUAAG